rnacentral:miRNA from 2 species
GACGGACGGUUAAACGUUGGAC